CUCUGCUGGCCGACCUGGUGCGAGAGCGUCGAGAGAAGACCAGGUUGAGGGUCGCCAGAUGGAGGGCGAAGAGGAAACUCCAGGCGGGUCUGAACCAGAUUCAGGCUGAAGGUGGCGCUGUAGGUCUUUCUCCGAAUGGCUUCCC